CUAAGGGGCGGAGCCGACGCGUAAAGCGGCUUUGCGCAUGCGCACCAGCUAGGCGGUUAGAUUUGAAUACUUCACUGAGGCCGUCUGGACGUUGUGAGGUGAAGAGGAGCGGCGGCGGUGAGGCCCUGGUCUGAGGGGCGCGCGCACCCCAAACAAGUCUGAAGAGAAUUUGUGAAGCAGUUGGGCUGCGGCGGAAAAAAUUUUUCUUCAAAAAUGGAUGGGAUGUCUUCAGAGGCUAAUGAAGAAAACGACAAUACAGAGAGACCUGUUAGAAGACGACAUUCUUCAAUUUUGAAACCCCCAAGGAGUCCUCUUCAGGACCUCAGAAGUGGGAAUGAAACAGUUCAGGAAUCCAAUGCUUUGAGAAAUAAGAAAAGCUCUCGUCGAGUCAGCUUUGCAGAUACUAUAAA